rnacentral:lncRNA from 1 species
GCCUGGGCUCCGCCUGGAUGCUCGCGACCUCCGAGAGACACCCAAAUCCCCGCACCCGGGCCUGAGUCGCCUCAGCGGUUCCCGCGCCUCCGCAUGGACCUCCAGGCAGGUGUGCCCACCCACUGCAAGGCGGGAGGAGCCGCGUGCACCUCGCCAGCUCCCGGGUGGCACCCUGACACUGACCUGACCUGGACCCCCAAAUCAAGGGGAGUUGGGGCCGGGCAGCCUGAAGGCGCAGAGCCCCCUCCCCAGGCACGAGCUUGGUUGCCAGGGGGCUCGGGAAGGGCUCGGGAAGGGCUGGGGAAAGGCUCGGGAAGGGCUCGGGGAUGGCUCCGGAAGGGCUCGGGAAGGGCUCGGGGAUGGCUGGGGAAAGGCUCGGGAAGGGCUCAGGGAUGGCUCCGGAAGGGCUCGGGAAGGGCUCGGGGAUGGCUGGGGAAAGGCUCGGGAAGGGCUGGGGAAAGGCUCGGGAAGGCUCGGGAAGGGCUCGGGGAGGGCUGGGGAAAGGCUCGGGAAGGGCUGGGGAAAGGCUCGGGAAGGCUCGGGAAGGGCUCAGGGAGGGCUGGGGAAAGGCUCGGGAAGGGCUCGGGGAAGGGCUGAGGAGAGCUCGGGAAGGGCUCGGGGAUGGCUCCGGAAGGGCUCGGGAAGGGCUCGGGGAUGGCUGGGGAAGGGCUCGGGAAGGGCUCGGGAAGGCUCGG